UUGGCUGUCAGAGCAGGUGUUGGACAGGGUAUAAAGGCCAUCUGGAGUGAGGGAUUGCUGAGCAGUGAGAAUUAAGACCUCCACACACUGACAGGGCUCAGACGAACCAUCUGGUCCCCCCUCGCUUAAAGAACCUGUUCCCAGCUUCUUCACAAACCGACCUCCGGCGCUCACGCUCUCUCACUAAAACAUACAUGUUCACUCACUCCCCUUGAUUAUCAUCUGCUGUCGGGAGGUUAGUGGAGUGUGAAGACCUGCUUCUUCCUCAGAGAGAUUUCUUUGUUUCUUUUUUCUUGUGACUUUUUGGAGUGGAGUUGGGCCGGCAUGGCGUAGAUGAGACGUGCAUUUGGACCCAGCAUGUUAGUCUGUCUCUGGACUUUGUGUCUGUCCCUAAGUCUCAUCUGGACUUGUCAAGUGACCUAGGCAGCGAUCUACAGACUCGCAGACCGAUGAAACCUACAACAUGGCCCAACAAGUGCCAGCGGGUUCCAACGGAGUGUGGCUACCGCGUGGUUUAUACGGAGUUCCCGAAGGUGGAGUGUCAAGCCUACAGCUGGAUCUGGUGAAGGCAGACAGACACCUAUGCCCCCCUACAGUCAAAAUACACGAUCGCAAGACUCUGGCUGUGGACAACCUCUUGAAUUAAGUAGUUACCAUCCAGAGAACAGACCACAUCCAACCUUCAAUUUGUCAACUUGUUCAAUCAAAGAAGGAACCAAUUCCCAAAUUGAACGACCCAACUCCAAAAGGUUCGUCCUUCGUUUCAAUAAAUGUGUGCGUGUGUUAAUGUUAUUAAAAUUUGGGACAGAAGGACCUCAAUUGGCACGGAUUCCAAAUGGGCAUAGAUUCAAAUUCCAAUAGAUUCUCAAACACAAGUACCAUAAAAAGUAGCAACAUACUCUGACUGUACAGUAGUAUCCUAUCAUCCCAAUUUGAUUGCUCAGCUUCCUGCCCUCCUCUCCUUACUUUAGUGACCACUGAUCUUGAUCACACCGACAGUGUCAUUGUUUUUUGGUACACAAAAAGUACAUUAAUUUCCAAUGGAAAGCUGUGAUUGCCAUGCAGCAUUUCAGAGGCAGUGGCAGUGCUUUCUGUAUAAAUUCGAUUUGUCGAAAGUAUGCAUAAAAUCGUAUGCGUAGACGGUAUGACAUAAAUGGUAGCAGAAGGUGAAUGUUUAACUUUUGUUGCACACAUAUCCAGAUGAUGCCGCGUACCAUUUUACACAAUGAUUAACAUAGUUAAAGGUCAAAUAAAAAAUAAAGGUGUGAUUGAGGUGUAACGCCUUGAUCACACCGAUAGUGUCAUUUCGCAAAAUAGUAAGCGGUAUCAUCUCGAUUUGUGUGCAACAAAAGUUCAACAUGAACUUUCUGCUACCAUUUCUGUCAAGCAGUCUACGCAGUUUGACGCAUACGUUCGAUAAAUCCAAUUGAUGCAUCACACAGAACACACUGUAACUGCCUCUGCAAUUCUGCAAAGCAAACUCAGCGUUCCAUUAGAAAUGAAUGUACUUCUGGUGUCCCAAAAUGCCAUGACUGUCGGUGUGAUCGAGGCGUAAGCGACCAAUUGAGUAGUUUGAUGAGGACUCCGACCAUAUGUCAAUAUUGUAUCACCUGUUGUUUACGAAGCAUGUGACAAAUAAAAGUUUGAUUUGACCUCGUGACAAGCCACAAGACGUGCUUCUAGAUGUCGACGCCAUAAACCCGGCACUUCCCGAAUGUGGCCCUCAAAUCUCAACCAGAUACCCUUCAUUACCAUGCAGUGUUACAAAGGUCUAUAGUUAUAUGCGUGAUAUUUUCCUAUCGGUUCCUUCGUAGGUGUUCAGUCUUCUGUAUGUAGCAGACCGUUAUGUUUUCAAUGUGAGGAAGCGAGAGCGCCAUCGGUCAACUUCACAAACCUAGGCUGGAUUUACACUCUACUAUGCACGCUCCAUACAGGCUCCGCAAACGCUUUGCGACUUCACCCGCACUGAGGUUUGAGCUAUGCAUGGCAGAGCGUGUAACUUCACACAACUGUCAGUGAUGAAUUGCUCAGCAGAAAGCUUGACUGUGGAGUUCACUCAGCCUUACAGAACGACUCCUUAGCCUCACCCGUCGACUGGUUUGUCAGGCUAUGGAGCUAUUUCACCGUUCACGUCACUGUGUGUACAGUAUAUAAUCAAUUAUUUCAAACAAAACAUGGCAGUGUUACAUAAUGUGUAAAGAAAUGUUCACUAUUUCUUCAACAGGUUUUUGGGAACGGGUACCAUACCUUAGUGCAUGAAAUAUCAACAUGGCAAUUUUUCUAAAUACAUUAUCAUCAGUAUUUUAUUAUGAAAAUGCAUUACAUCUCUUCUGCUUUUUUAUCUUUUGGAUGGGGGAAUCCACAUAGUCACCACUAUGUUGUGUAAAAAAUAAAACAAAAACGAGUUAAACUUCAUUCCCCCCCCCCUCAAAAAUGCAGUGUCCAGUUUCUCUGGGAGUCGAAAGUGAAGAGUAAAAAGAAAGACUCAACAGACCUAAUCAUCCCAAUCCGACCAUCGGUCAGUCCCAGAAAAGAAAUAUCAUGCGGCAAAUUUAGUGUACUAGAUUUCUCUUUUUACAGUUUAACACAUUUUAUACAAGUACACAUGUUCAUACAUUGUCAUUUUUGUUUCAUUUUAGGGGUUAUUUCUUUACUUAAGGUGCUGGUAAUUUUGGGUGACAUUUCUCAGAAGUCUUCUGUCAAACAUUCAUGUAACAAGUGAGUACCUUACGUCUGUGGAUGAGGCAAUAAGAAGAAAGGUCAAGUGUCUGGUCAAGCUGGCCAGUCCCUCUGUCCGAAGCCCCAGUGUGGUUCCUGGGGCCCCAAAGACAUUUACUCCCAACCAAAUUAGAACGUCCAGUUCGAACGAUUUCCAUCUUCCUGUCACUAGGGUAAUACAACUCCCAGCCUGCAUCAGCAAUGUCAUUUAACGUUGAUUAAAAGUCCCAAUGCUGUGGUCAUGGCACAUGACUAA